UAGAAUUAAAUAAAGAAACAUCGUUUGAUAUAUUUAAGUAUUUAUCAAGAACUACUUUGGAUUCAGUUUGUGGAUCAACAAUGGGUGUAAAUAUUAACUCUCAUAAACAUAGUGAAUCUUACUUUGAUGCUAUACACAGACUAAUGAAUCUCAUGAUAGUAAGACCCU